ACCUUUAAACAUGCAUUGUAUUUUGUCCUGUUUGUGACUUGAAUUUGCUGGAUUCAUGUUCAUGACUGAUGCCUAUGUCUAUUCGUUAUAAUAAUGAUUUCUAUGCGUUGUCUUAGUCAUAUAAGAUGAGGCAAGGGAUCCUUGUUUCUUAGAUUAGGUUUAGAUUAGGACCUUGGAGAUGGACCUUUGCGUGAAGAUGGUGGAGGUCGAUGUCUACUCCGACCGUUAUCUUGUAAUGCUCAUUUUCCCGACAUAUGUCUCGGGUUCCAUUCGUUGUAUAAAACCCGACGAGUUGCAGGUUUGCUUUCUUUUCUUUUUAAUUGUUUUCUCUUUUAUAUUUUUU
rnacentral:lncRNA from 1 species